GAUGAACGCUAGCGGCAGGCUUAAUACAUGCAAGUCAAGGGGGUAGCAAUACAACCGGCGCACGGGUGAGUAACACGUACACAACAUACCAUAUACUGGAGUAUAGCUUUGGGAAACUGAAGGUAAUCCUCCAUAACAUUGCGAGAGGGCAUCUGAUUGCAAUUAAAGUUCCGGCGGUAUAUGAUUGGUGUGCGUUUGAUUAGCUAGUUGGUAGGGUAACGGCCUACCAAGGCGACGAUCAAUAGCUGGCGUGAGAGCGCGACCAGCCACACUGGAACUGAGACACGGUCCAGACUCCUACGGGAGGCAGCAGUAGGGAAUAUUGGACAAUGGGCGAAAGCCUGAUCCAGCCAUGCCGCGUGAUAGAUGAAGGCCCUCUGGGUUGUAAAUAUCUUUUAUCUGGGAAGAAACUCCUCUAUUCUUAGAGGCCUGACGGUACCAGAGGAAUAAGCACCGGCUAACUCCGUGCCAGCAGCCG
rnacentral:rRNA from 1 species